rnacentral:rRNA from 1 species
GUCGAGAAUAAUUCACAAUGGACGAAAGUCUGAUGGUGCAACGCCGCGUGGAGGAUGAAGGUCUUCGGAUUGUAAACUCCUGUCAUCGGGGAGUAAGACCUGGAGGUAAAUAGCCGACAGGGUUGAUAGUACCCGAAGAGGAAGGGACGGCUAACUUCGUGCCAGCAGCCGCGGUAAUACGAAGGUCCCAAGCGUUGUUCGGAAUCACUGGGCGUAAAGGGAGCGUAGGCGGCGUGGUAAGUCAGAUGUGAAAUCCCGGGGCUCAACCCCGGAACUGCAUCCGAUACUGCCAUGCUUGAGGGUUGGAGAGGUAGCUGGAAUUCUCGGUGUAGCAGUGAAAUGCGUGGAUAUCGAGAGGAACACUCGUGGCGAAGGCGAGCUACUGGACAACAUCUGACGCUGAGGCUCGAAGGCCAGGGGAGCAAAAGGGAUUAGAUACCCUAGUAGUCC